AUAACGGACACGGAUUUCAAAGGCAGCAGGAUGAAAGAUAACCAUCUAUCAGGUCUGAGUUCAUUAAGACAUGAAGACUCUGGAGUGGGACAAGAGAAGGAUGAUGGGGUGUAUAUUCCAAUAGACACAUUAAGGUAAAUUAAAUGUUGAGGCUCAUGUUUGCAUCUUUGUGUUUAUAUAUCAAAAGAUUGCUCUGUGAUUUCAGUGAAAGCUGAUAAAUACAGAGGGCUGGACAGUGGUUUCAUUGAUUAAGUAAAGAGGUGGGACAAGGAUGCUGACAGGACAGAAGGAGGUGACAUUCAGACAUUCAGCGCAGACAUUUUCAUCCAAAGCAACUUGAGGAAGAAAACAAGAAGCAGUUCAUCCUAAAAGUGGGCUGCUGUAUGGAAAGAGGAGCUGAGAAGAAAAGAGACGCUGGAAAGCAGUACUUCUUGUUGAGGACAAUCCUGAAUAGGAACACUUUCUCAUAUACACAUAGAUUAUAAUUUAGUGUUUGAUAUUUUUUU